ACGAACGCUGGCGGCGUGCCUAAUACAUGCAAGUAGAACGCUGAAGAGAGGAGCUUGCUCUUCUUGGAUGAGUUGCGAACGGGUGAGUAACGCGUAGGUAACCUGCCUUGUAGCGGGGGAUAACUAUUGGAAACGAUAGCUAAUACCGCAUAACAAUGGAUGACACAUGUCAUUUAUUUGAAAGGGGCAAUUGCUCCACUACAAGAUGGACCUGCGUUGUAUUAGCUAGUAGGUGAGGUAACGGCUCACCUAGGCGACGAUACAUAGCCGACCUGAGAGGGUGAUCGGCCACACUGGGACUGAGACACGGCCCAGACUCCUACGGGAGGCAGCAGUAGGGAAUCUUCGGCAAUGGGGGCAACCCUGACCGAGCAACGCCGCGUGAGUGAAGAAGGUUUUCGGAUCGUAAAGCUCUGUUGUAAGUCAAGAACGAGUGUGAGAGUGGAAAGUUCACACUGUGACGGUAGCUUACCAGAAAGGGACGGCUAACUACGUGCCAGCAGCCGCGGUAAUACGUAGGUCCCGAGCGUUGUCCGGAUUUAUUGGGCGUAAAGCGAGCGCAGGCGGUUUGAUAAGUCUGAAGUUAAAGGCUGUGGCUCAACCAUAGUUCGCUUUGGAAACUGUCAAACUUGAGUGCAGAAGGGGAGAGUGGAAUUCCAUGUGUAGCGGUGAAAUGCGUAGAUAUAUGGAGGAACACCGGUGGCGAAAGCGGCUCUCUGGUCUGUAACUGACGCUGAGGCUCGAAAGCGUGGGGAGCGAACAGGAUUAGAUACCCUGGUAGUCCACGCCGUAAACGAUGAGUGCUAGGUGUUGGAUCCUUUCCGGGAUUCAGUGCCGCAGCUAACGCAUUAAGCACUCCGCCUGGGGAGUACGACCGCAAGGUUGAAACUCAAAGGAAUUGACGGGGGCCCGCACAAGCGGUGGAGCAUGUGGUUUAAUUCGAAGCAACGCGAAGAACCUUACCAGGUCUUGACAUCGAGUGACGAACUUAGAGAUAAGUUUUUCCUUCGGGACACGAAGACAGGUGGUGCAUGGUUGUCGUCAGCUCGUGUCGUGAGAUGUUGGGUUAAGUCCCGCAACGAGCGCAACCCCUAUUGUUAGUUGCCAUCAUUCAGUUGGGCACUCUAGCGAGACUGCCGGUAAUAAACCGGAGGAAGGUGGGGAUGACGUCAAAUCAUCAUGCCCCUUAUGACCUGGGCUACACACGUGCUACAAUGGUUGGUACAACGAGUUGCGAGUCGGUGACGGCAAGCUAAUCUCUUAAAGCCAAUCUCAGUUCGGAUUGUAGGCUGCAACUCGCCUACAUGAAGUCGGAAUCGCUAGUAAUCGCGGAUCAGCACGCCGCGGUGAAUACGUUCCCGGGCCUUGUACACACCGCCCGUCACACCACGAGAGUUUGUAACACCCGAAGUCGGUGAGGUAACCUUUUGGAGCCAGCCGCCUAAGGUGGGAUAGAUGAUUGGGGUG
rnacentral:rRNA from 1 species